rnacentral:tRNA from 2 species
AAGAUGUUAGUAAAAUAUAUUACAUCGCCUUGUCAAGGCAAAAUUGUAGGUUUAAACCCCGCACAUCUUA